UAAUGUGAUAAUACAGAAAAUAAUAAUCUGAGGCUGGUCUCAUACCAUCCUUUAAGACUUCUGCUCUUCUGAAAAUGCUUACAGAGCAGCCAUAACACAAAGUUUGCACAUCUCCUUCCGUGGUUGUGGGUUUGGGCUUGUCAGGAAAGUAUUCGUUGUUUAAAGUUUGUUCGUAAAUUUUAAGUUCUGUUUGCUGCACUGAAGUUAAAUUAUGUGGCUGAAAACCCAUUUGUAACAGAACAGGUAAAUUAUCCUGAUUUACUUACUAUGAUGCUUUAGUACUUUCUUUGUAUUCUGCUGUUGAGCAGAGGACAGAGAUGUUGGGCUAAAUGAAGAGCUGUAUUUCAGCCAAUACAGUACUUCAUGCGUCUCAAGCAUAGAGGUUCAACGAGGUACUAACUGAACUUGCAGUGUAUUUUUGCUUAAUGUUGAAGAAUCAAACUUUUAAUAACUAAAAAGAAUGCAGUGGGCUUGUCUAACUGUGGCUUUAGCAGAGCUACUAUACUAUAUGGAUACAACCUGUUUGAUAAUGCACAUUUCAGUUAGUUUUUCUAGUAGUCUUUGGUUCUUGUGACUUACUAAACAGCCACAUACUCAAAUUUUUGUAGGACCUCACAGACUUUACAAGCUAAUUGUUCUUUCACCUGGAGACUAUGGGCAAAUGACUUUCAACACAAAAGGAGUGGAUUGGGCAUUUCCAUUGCUCUAAGCCACCAUCUUUUUCACUGAAGAGGCUGACCAGCAUUUUGCUGAAAUACAGCUCCAAAUCCAUAUACCAUGUGUACAUAUGACAUUUGAACAGGAUGGGAUUUAAUGAAGUCUCCUUGGAUUAGGAAACUUGGAUUUCAUUGAAGUAAUCGAUGAUUAGAAAAGUAAAGGUAAAGCUUUUGUAGUAUGAAUUUCCAAGUUCCUGUGUAACUUAAUACAAAAUAGACUUGCACCUUGAGGAUAAACCUUA